GCGCCAGUAGCUCAGCUGGAUAGAGUGUUUGGCUACGAACCAAAAGGUCAGGGGUUCGAAUCCCUUCUGGCGCGCCA
rnacentral:tRNA from 1 species